rnacentral:rRNA from 1 species
CAGUCGCCACGGGAAUACGUAGGGUGCAAGCGUUAAUCGGAAUUACUGGGCGUAAAGCGUGCGCAGGCGGUUCUAUAAGACAGAUGUGAAAUCCCCGGGCUCAACCUGGGAACUGCAUUUGUGACUGUAGAGCUGGAGUGCGGCAGAGGGGGAUGGAAUUCCGCGUGUAGCAGUGAAAUGCGUAGAUAUGCGGAGGAACACCGAUGGCGAAGGCAAUCCCCUGGGCCUGCACUGACGCUCAUGCACGAAAGCGUGGGGAGCAAACAGGAUUAGAUACCCCUGUAGUCCCUGUCUCUUAUAC